AAGGCUCCCUGGCCAAAGACCCCCACUAUGGAUGGAGAAAAGAGCCACCAAUGAGAAGGCGCGAGGCAGAUGUUGGAGUGUUGGGGUCAGGAUAGGAGGGUAUCACCUGGACCCUUUCUCCCAUGAUCCCCUGCAGUGAAUCUUCCUUCUUCCACUCAUGAUCCAAGGCUCUGCAGCUUCCAGAAUGUUCUCUGGUGGAAGAGCGGCACUGGUGCCCACCCUCCACAUAAAAUGUGCUCUGACAUGUUAGACAGAAGUCCACACCACAAGGAGCAGCAAGCCCGCUACUGCUCUUAUUCCCCGGGGAGUCAGAAGCCGGACGCCAGGCCUGUUUCUGGGCCUACCACUGCAGCAUCUUCUGGAAAUGUGCCUUCUGUGGUUGGGGACAUGCUUUGUCUGGACCUAACUUACUCUUCUCUCAGGACCAGCAUGUGUGAAGGAAGCUCACAGUCCCCCUCAUAGAAGACUUUGCGUGGCCCGCCCUGUGCCUGGAAGCUCCCUCCAGCAUCCCCUCUGAAUACAGACUCAUCCUCCUGUCC